CUGAAAGAAAUUAGAAUUACAUUGAAGACCUUUGGAGGUCCUUCUGUUUUCUGGAAAUUGGGAAUUUGCGCUGCUCUUACUUGGGUCAAGCCUGAGCUAUUCAGACCAACACCUAUAGUACCAGCAUACCACAGGCCACGUAAGGUAGUAACCAUGUGAAUGCGAACCUGCAGUACCAGCAUACCGAGGGUAGUAAAAUCGCAGUGUACUCUUUGUCCCAUCUGAACCUGUAAUGGCACACUGCCUACAGUGUGCCCUCGAGGUAGGUACUAGGCUACUAGCAGCGCGUAUCGUCUUAGGAGGUACUAACAGGAUCGUAUCGGAUGUUCGGACGCUAAUUAGGAGAAUUAAAUAUGAGCUAAUUAUAAAACUAACUGCAGAACUCCUAUACUAAUUCACGAGACAAAUCUAUUAAACCUAAUUAAUCCAUCAUUAGCAAAUGAUUACUGUAGCACCACAUUGUCAGAUCAUGGACUAAUUAGACUUAAUAGAUUCGUCUCGCGAAUUAGACUCUAUCUGUGCAAUUAAUUUUAUAAUUAGACUAUAUUUAAUACUUCUAAUUAAUAUUAGAACAUCCGAUGUGAUAGGUACUAAAGUUUAUGAGUGUGUUGCACCUCAGUAGACGUAGUUCUUGACAAACAUUCCCUCCCUGGCCUCGGCGGCCUCGCCGUCAGAGGUGUACUUGCCGAGCUGCGCCAGGGAGUUGGCCUUGGCGCGGAGCAGCAAAGCAUCC
rnacentral:lncRNA from 1 species